CACUUUCUCCACCAAGGCACCGUCUUUCUCCCUCAAUCUCGGACAUCUCUCUGUUUCUCUCUGCUACUCUUUUUAUCAGAAGAGAAUCAUGACCAACAAGGAUGAUGAUUCAUGGCGGUUAUUCACUUCUGAAGACAUGACAGAAGGUUAUAAGGCUUUGAAGAGACGCAAAACUACGAAGAAGCCAAAUGAAGAGAAUGUUUCAGGUAUCACGACUGGAACACCACAGACAAACUCAUCGGUGAAACGUACAUGUAUUGUGUUCC